rnacentral:rRNA from 1 species
UAGGGAAUCUUCGGCAAUGGACGAAAGUCUGACCGAGCAACGCCGCGUGAGUGAAGAAGGUUUUCGGAUCGUAAAACUCUGUUGUUAGAGAAGAACAAGGACGUUAGUAACUGAACGUCCCCUGACGGUAUCUAACCAGAAAGCCACGGCUAACUACGUGCCAGCAGCCGCGGUAAUACGUAGGUGGCAAGCGUUGUCCGGAUUUAUUGGGCGUAAAGCGAGCGCAGGCGGUUUCUUAAGUCUGAUGUGAAAGCCCCCGGCUCAACCGGGGAGGGUCAUUGGAAACUGGGAGACUUGAGUGCAGAAGAGGAGAGUGGAAUUCCAUGUGUAGCGGUGACAUGCUUAGAUAUAUGGAGAAACACCAGUGGCGAAGGCGGCUCUCUGGUCUGUAACUGACGCUGAGGCUCGAAAGCGUGGGGAGCAAACAGG